rnacentral:rRNA from 1 species
GACGAACGCUGGCGGCGUGCUUAACACAUGCAAGUCGAACGGUAAGGCCCUUCGGGGUACACGAGUGGCGAACGGGUGAGUAACACGUGGGUGAUCUGCCCUGCACUUCGGGAUAAGCCUGGGAAACUGGGUCUAAUACCGGAUAGGACUCCGGACUGCAUGGUCUGGGGUGGAAAGCUUUUGCGGUGUGGGAUGGGCCCGCGGCCUAUCAGCUUGUUGGUGGGGUGAUGGCCUACCAAGGCGACGACGGGUAGCCGGCCUGAGAGGGUGACCGGCCACACUGGGACUGAGAUACGGCCCAGACUCCUACGGGAGGCAGCAGUGGGGAAUAUUGCACAAUGGGCGCAAGCCUGAUGCAGUGACGCCGCGUGAGGGACGACGGCCUUCGGGUUGUAAACCUCUUUCAGCAUCGACGAAGCGAAAGUGACGGUAGGUGCAGAAGAAGGACCGGCCAACUACGUGCCAGCAGCCGCAGUAA